GAGUUUGAUCCUGGCUCAGAACGAACGCUGGCGGCAGGCCUAACACAUGCAAGUCGAACGCCCCGCAAGGGGAGUGGCAGACGGGUGAGUAACGCGUGGGAACCUACCUUGUGGUACGGAACAACCAAGGGAAACUUUGGCUAAUACCGUAUGAGCCCGAGAGGGGAAAGAUUUAUCGCCAUAGGAUGGGCCCGCGUCGGAUUAGCUAGUUGGUGAGGUUAAUGGCUCACCAAGGCGACGAUCCGUAGCUGGUCUGAGAGGAUGACCAGCCACACUGGGACUGAGACACGGCCCAGACUCCUACGGGAGGCAGCAGUGGGGAAUAUUGGACAAUGGGCGCAAGCCUGAUCCAGCCAUGCCGCGUGUGUGAUGAAGGCCUUAGGGUUGUAAAGCGCUUUCGCCGAUGAAGAUAAUGACGGUAGUCGGAGAAGAAGCCCCGGCUAACUUCGUGCCAGCAGCCGCGGUAAC
rnacentral:rRNA from 1 species